CCAUUUGUUCCCAUCCCUAGGGGCUCCAUUUCGAUCUUCUCUUCGCCCCUUCUUCUUCAUCUUUUUUUGCCAAAAUCAUCACCCUCAUACUUCUUUCAACACACCUAUGGCCCAGGCUGUAAGGGCAUCCACAAUGGAAGCAGCGCCCCUCUUCACGCCUCUUAAUAUAUUCGGGAUAAGGCAAAGUCCUUACUCCUCUUCCUUUCCCAUAUAUGUGUGUGUCACCAUAUAAGAGAUUUCUCACUUUUUUCUCAGUUCAACAUACCACAACGGUAACACUUCCUUGAUUUGUACUCGUUUGCAUAAUGGUUUGGUUGUGCUUGUCAUACUUAAAACACGGUCACAAUUUGACUCAAAUGAAACUCAGAUUACUA
rnacentral:lncRNA from 1 species